UCUCCGGUAGCCUAUUGGCUAGCACACGCGCCUGCCAGCGUGGAGCCUGGGCUCGACUCUCAGCCGGAGAU